rnacentral:lncRNA from 1 species
GGCUGCUUCACGACAAGGAGCUGCUUCUGCGGCUCUACACACAGAACAUCGACGGGCUUGAGAGAGCAUCUGGUAUCCCUGCCUCAAAGCUGGUUGAAGCUCAUGGGUCCUUUGUAUCAGCUACGUGCACGGUCUGUCGAAGGUCCUUCCCAGGGGAAGACAUACGGGGGAAUCCCCAGCCAGGCUCACCUUAGCUGCUCAUCACUUCCACCCCCUUCCUCCCCUCUCCGUGUUCCCGGAGUAGAUGAGCAUUCACCUUCUGUCCGGCAGUCCAGUCGUGGCUUCUCUGCAGUGUACGCUGUUGCUACUGCUUGUGUUGCAUUCUGGUGAUUUCUUCUGGUCUAUUUCAAGCUUAUCAAUACCUUGUUGUGUUGUAGAGAAUAAAGUUCUUUCAUUGGAAUUUA